rnacentral:rRNA from 1 species
CAGCAGCCGCGGUAAUACGAAGGGUGCAAGCGUUAAUCGGAAUUACUGGGCGUAAAGCGUGCGUAGGUGGUGGUUUAAGUCCGUUGUGAAAGCCCUGGGCUCAACCUGGGAAUUGCAGUGGAUACUGGGUCAUUAGAGUGUGGUAGAGGAUAGUGGAAUUUCCGGUGUAGCAGUGAAAUACGUAGAGAUCGGAAGGAAUAUCUGUGGCGAAGGCGACUAUCUGGGCCAACACUGACACUGAGGCACGAAAGCGUGGGGAGCAAACAGGAUUAGAGACCCCGGUAGUCCCUGUCUCUUAUAC